UACAGAGGUCUCAAGCGUUGUUCGGAUUCAUUGGGCGUAAAGGGUGCGUAGGCGGCGCGGUAAGUCGGGUGUGAAAUCUCGGGGCUUAACUCCGAAACUGCAUUCGAUACUGCCGUGCUUGAGGACUGGAGAGGAGACUGGAAUUUACGGUGUAGCGGUGAAAUGCGUAGAUAUCGUAAGGAAGACCAGUGGCGAAGGCGGGUCUCUGGACAGUUCCUGACGCUGAGGCACGAAGGCCCAGGGGGAGCGAAACGGG
rnacentral:rRNA from 1 species